CCUACGGGUGGCAGCAGUGGGGAAUAUUGCACAAUGGGGGAAACCCUGAUGCAGCGACGCCGCGUGAGUGAAGAAGUAUCUAGGUAUGUAAAGCUCUAUUAGCAGGGAAGAAAAUGACGGUACCUGAUUAAGAAGCCCCGUCCAACUACGUGCCAGCAGCCGAGGUAAUAUGCAGGGGGCAAGCGUUAUCCGGAUUUACUGGGGGUAAAGGGAGCGUAGACGGCAGCACAAGUCAGGAGUGAAAUGCCGGGGCUUAACCCCGGAACUGCUUUGGAAACUGUUCGGCUAGAGUGCAGGAGAGGUAAGUGGAAGUCGUAGUGUAGCGGUGAAAUGCGUAGAUAUUAGGAAGAACACCAAUGGCGAAGGCGGCUUACUGGACUGUAACUGACGUUGAGGCUCGAAAGCGUGGGGAGCAAACAGGAUUAGAUACCCCGGUAGUC
rnacentral:rRNA from 1 species